CCUUUAAAUUUUGAUUAAAAAGGCCUAUAUUUACGGUGAUGGGUAACCAUCUAUGAUGAUAAACGGCUAACGUAAUAAGCGUUACGGACCCGGGGGCGGUACCCGGCGCCUCCACCAUUUAUGAAAGUGUUUAUCUGAUUGAUGCGAAAUAUUUUGUGUCAUACUAUAGCUUAGUCAUUAAAGCAUAAUUGAUUAGGUUGUUGAUGCCACAAGGAAUAAGUGAUGAAAUUUACGGCUUCAGUAAAUGAAGCACGCAAUGACACCGUGGCAUCGAUAAGAUAAACAAUUAGAGGGGGCGAACCAGGAUCGACGUGCGUGGUAAAGGUUAUCUUUUCGUCCGGCAUUGUACCACCGUUAUCGGGCUGCAUGAUAAGUGCAAACACUAAAAAUACUCGUCGUGGUGCUAACCAAAAUAGGUUAGUUGCCAACAGCCGCCGUAAUGGUAGCCGUCGUGUAGCAAACGCUGCUUAGUAAAUCAAGCAGUAGCGGUCUGAGGGGCACCGGGCAACAGAAGCCCCUCA
rnacentral:tmRNA from 1 species